rnacentral:rRNA from 1 species
CCUACGGGCGGCAGCAGUAGGGAAUAUUGCUCAAUGGGGGAAACCCUGAUGCAGCAACGCCGCGUGGGGGAUGAAGGUUUUCGGAUUGUAAACUCCUUUUGGUAGAGAAGAUAAUGACGGUUUCUAACGGAUAAGCACCGGCUAACUCCGUGCCAGCCGCCGCGGGAAUACGGAGGGUGCAAGCGUUAGUCGGAAUCACUGGGCGUAAAGAGUGCGUAGGCGGGAUAGCAAGUCAGAUGUGAAAUACUAUGGCUUAACCAUAGAACUGCAUUUGAAACUGUUAUUCUAGAGUAUGGGAGAGGUAGGUGGAAUUCUUGGUGUAGGGGUAAAAUCCGUAGAGAUCAAGAGGAAUACUCAUGGCGAAGGCGACCUGCUAGAACAUAACUGACGCUGAUGCGCGAAAGCGUGGGGAGCAAACAGGAUUAGAUACCCUUGUAGUC